CCUAAAGAUAUGAGAAUUGCUGCG
rnacentral:piRNA from 1 species